CGGAGCGGGGAGGAGCAGAACGGGAGCGAAUGGGGCUGCUUCAGUUCCCGCCUUGCCCGCAGGCACCUGCUCCCCCACCUAAGGCAGAGCUCAUCCUGCCGCUCCUCCCCUCGCGGUCGGGUUGCCGCCCUCUGUUAGACCCGUCGGACCCCAGUUUUCACCACCACCAUCUCUCACGCCCUCUCAUCAGCCUGUUGCUUUCUGGCUGCUGGGUCUUUCUACAGCAUUUGAUUGAGGGGAAGAGGCUGCUGGGGGCGACAGGUUCAUCUACGAGCGGGACCUGGCUUGGCUGCAGCAGGCAGAUGUGGUGGUGGCAGAAGUGACCCAGCCAUCGUUGGGCGUGGGCUAUGAGCUGGGCCAGGCCAUGGCCCUCAAUAAGCGGAUCUUGUGCCUCUUCCGUCCGCAGUCUGGCCGAGUGCUUUCAGCCAUGAUCCGGGGAGCGGCAGACGGCUCAAGGUUCCAGGUGUUGGACUAUGAAGAGGGCCAGGUGGAGGCCAUGCUGGAUCAAUACUUUGAGGCUGACCCUCCCUAGCAGGUGGCUGCCUCCCCUGACCCAACUGCUUGCCUUAGCCCCACUUUGUUAAUUCUUCUAAUCCCAGACUCUUAGUACCCUUCCUACCUCAUAGCCCCAGUACCAAAUUAAAAGGAUGUUUAAAAUUCUGACCAUGUCUCUACGAGUGGUGGGCGGGAGGGACAGGUCUUCAGGAAUAUCCUUGCUUUUCCUGCUUCACUUCAAGAUGUAGAGAGACCCUUUAGCGUUCUGUAGGCCUCCAAGGCCUUCCUAAUGCCCUCAGACUCCUGCCAGGAACAUUCAAGAGUUAGGAGGAAGGCUGCCUGGGGGCAGGGGGGUGGCCAUUUCUGACUCCUCUGAUGCUGGGCCGGGUCUGGGGCAAGCGGGCAGGACUAUGCCUGGCUUGGGCCACAUGCACCUGCAUUUCCUUUUGUCAGCUUAGGUCAGACGGGUCUGCUCUGGGCCUUCUCUGAGAACACAAGAGUCUAGAGGUCUAAGGAAAAAGUGAGCACCUGGGUGGCUCAGUGGUUGAGCACCUGCCUUUGGCUCAGGUCGUGAUCCCAGGAUCCUGGGAUCCAGUCCCAUGUGGGCUCCCUGUGUGGAGCCUGCUUCUCCCUCUACCUGUGUCUCU